rnacentral:lncRNA from 1 species
GAACUGAACUGCCAUCGAGCUAAAAGGCUUGGCAUUAAACUUUGACACUUUAAUGGCUUUUAGGAUAUUAGAUAAUAUUUUAUCAUAUAAUGUUCUUCUCCGACACAAUAAUGGCAUCAAAACCAGAUACGAUCUGCUAUCCCUGCAACGUUCACGGGAGUUUGCGGAGGAACCGCUACCUUCGGUUCGCACCCUCCUCGACUGAGGCUCCUACUGAUUAGAAAGUAUUAUGAGGGAUGCUGAGGAUUUCGUGCUCUGCACAGAGACACCACAGUGGAAUUAGAGAUCGGCACUUCCGAGAGGAUGCUGGGAAUCUGCCGAGGGAGACGGAAAUUCCUGGCUGCCUCUCUGACUCUACUCUGCAUACCAGCCCUCACCUGGAUUUAUUUGUUUGCCGGGAGCCUUGAAGAUGGGAAACCCGUGUCUCUCUCUCCCCUGGAGUCCCAAGCCCACAGUCCCAGGUACACCGCCUCCAGCCAACGCGAGCGGGAGAGCCUGGAAGUACGAGUGCG